GCAGCACAGCGUGGCGUCCCCAGCACCUUCCCCUGCUCAGCAAUGCCCACGCAGCAGUGUCUAGCUGAGAGAAGAGGAGAGUGUUUUAUGCAGAAAAUGCCAAACUGACCCUUUUCGACCAUGAGGAAAAUUUCCUCAGUGUUCAGAACAUGAAAAUCUCUGGGAGAGAACCUCGUCUUUUCAACUGCCCCCUCAGCCUCAGUACCCCAAGGCAGUGCCAUGGCAGAGCAGACACAGGAGGGGCUUUCCAUGCAACCUGGAUGCUUCCCAGGGCCUUGCAUGGAUCCGGAAGGAACUGUCAUCCCUGCAGCUGGACCUGGCUGCAGCACGGUGUGGUGGCACUGCACUGGUGCUGAGCAACACGUGCCUGCGCUGCCUGCCUCGAGGACUUGCCUGAGUUCACCAGGGUCUCUGUGGCAGGGUACGGUGCUGAGCCAAGAGAGGUGCUUGAGGAGCUGUCCGCUCAGUGCCGCUCGGCGUGGAAAGGAUUAAUCGGAUGAGGGAAACGGUGAGGGAAUAUCAACUUCAUUCCUGCAGUGAAGAAACUGUGCCAUUAAAA
rnacentral:lncRNA from 1 species